rnacentral:miRNA from 35 species
UAGGAACUUCAUACCGUGCUCU